CUGGCCUCCCACGCCCCCAUUCUGUGCCUAUAAAAACCCCCGAGGCCCUAGCCGGCAGACACACAGGCGGCUGGAUGUCAAGAGGAGCACAACAGAGGAGGAACACAGAGGUGGCUAGACACAGAGAGUAACACACUGACGGCUGGACAUACGGAGUAAAACACCGACAGGCACGGGCACCCUGGCAGGCCACCGACCAUUAGAAAUAGAAUGACAUGGAGUUUAGCUGGGGCAGUCAGAGGAGAGCCCAGGCUGCUGAACGGCUCGACUCUAGGGGAAACCCUUCCCACUCCACCCCUUCUGACUUUCCGAGAGCUGCUUCCACCCAAUAAAACCUUGCAAUCAUUCUCCAAGCCCAGGUGUGAUCAGAUUCUUUCGGUACAUCAAGGUAAGAACCUGGGAUACAGAAAGCCUCUGUCCCUGAGACAAAGUAGAAGGUCUAAGGGAGCUGCUUAACACAAGCCACCUAUAGACGGCAAAACUAAAAGAGCAAAACUAGAAGAGCACCCUGUGACACACUCCCACUGGGGCUUCAGGAGCUGCAAACAUUCACCCCUACACACUGCUGUGCAGUCGGAGCCCCAUAGCCUGCCCGUCUGUAUGCUCCCCUAGAGGUUUGAGCAGCGGGGCACUGAAGAAGCAACCCCAUUACACGGCCUGCGAGGGGGACAAGGAUCUCUCCCUGUGGUGCCUAGGUUGGUUUAAAACUCUUGGCCUCAAGCGAUCCUCCCACCUUGAAUUCCCAAAGCAAGGUGCUAUUAGUAAUUGGCUCAGAGAACUCGCCAUUAGGGGCAGUGCAUCACUUAACAAUGGCUGGGCGUGAAAGAGAGCCCUGCUCUACUGACCCUUCAAUGUGCCCGUGUGCCUAAAUAUUCCUGGUCGUGUGAAAAGAACCCAGGUAUUAGCUGAACUAAGGAGCACAAUUCUGCAACAUUUUGGCACCCAAACACGGGGCUUGAGAAAUGAAUGCAAUUGGAGAAACUGGUUGUUUUACCAGGCGUUGAUUGGAAAUGUGUGCUUCCCUUUAAGCAGUCAAGCUCAACUUGCAGAACUGAUGGGAACCCCUUGGGAAAACUGGCCUCAAAUGUUUGUCUACACAGUCCACAUACAGGGUUCUUAACCUGCGCAUAUUUAACUAUCCGGCUAUUUUGGAGAUUGAAAAAAGAAGACCUGAUUUAUCAUGUGCAAUAUCUCACACAUCUGUCAUUUCUAUUCUACCGCAAUUCGGUGAGUUCAGCCUCUUUUUACUUCAUGUUUGAAUAAUCGCAAUAGAUUUUAUACUGUUCUCACUGCUAAACUUGCUCCCCCUAUUACCCUACAGACACUCAUAUUCAUCUUGCAUAAUACCACCAGAUUAUUCUUUGUCCAUCUAUUUUCCUAGAUAUUUGUCCUCCACUUUCCUGUCUUUUUUUCUGCACUUCAUUCUACCCAUCUUAGUGAAUAGACAUCUUUUCAACUCUCUCAGGCUAUAUAUACAUCAAUUUUUCAAAAUCCAAGUAAAACUUCACGUCCUUGAGAGAAUUUUAGAGAGCGUGUAAUACCUACAUUUUUUUUUACCAUUUAUUAGGAAUAUAUCUCAGCCCCAGUUAUGUGAUUAUUACAUAUUAUAGUAUAUUAAUGUUUGCAAACUCCUUGUAAAAUCAUACACACCCCAUACUGCUAUAUUCAUUUCAAUAGCAAAACAGUUUCUUUUCAAUUUUGUAAUAAAUAUAUUAAGAUCCUGUCCUCCUCCAGGCCAAUUUUCUUCCCCUAUAUUUAAAGUGCUCUGAUGGAGGUAACUUAUUAAUAAUUUGAGCCUAAAACAGCUUUUCAAAUAUGCAUUUCAUUUUUGCACACCAAGCUGGUGUGUGCCUGCAGGCGCUAUUUCUAUUAAGUGAACAGCUGGAUAUUGUGUAGUGGAUUGACCAGGUGUUUGAGUGAACUCAUUAGUCACCAUAUAGAAGCAACUUAAAAGAAUGAGUCACAGUGAUAGUCAUCUCACUUUGGGAAAAGGAAAAGAAAUAAAUAAAAAUGUUUCAUAUCUAUCAGACAGCCACAAAGCACAGUCCCUAUCAACAGGAGCAAAUUCAAAUAAAAAUGGCCCCACCAUACAUAUUUUAUUUGAUUUACAUCUAGCACUGAAGAUAUACUUUAUGAAUUUUUCCUUUAUUCUGACAGUCAUAAAAUAAACGGAGGUGAAUCAUAUAACUUUUGAAUAUCUACAUAGCCAGAGAUAAACUCUGCAUAUUAAAUAUCUUCCAAUAUUACAUCUACCAAAAAACAUAGCAGAGGUCAUAUUUAUGUUGCAACUGAGAAAACACUCAAAUUAUUUAAAGAGAAAAUUUAAAUACUUUACUAAAAUUCACAUUAAAUUCUGAAUUUUACAUGGGUUUAUGUGGCUCUACCAUUCAUACUGUUGAACUUCUGAGUUAUUAAUAUUUACAAAUAACCCAUGUUCUUUCAAAUGAUUCCAAUGCUUACAGAAACACAUAUAAAAGUACAUACAAUGAAAUAAAACUGUGGCAAUGUAGAAAAAUGAAAACUAUAAUAUGACAACGCAAUGAAGCCAGAGUUAAUGUGAGCACAUGAAAUGAAAUCCUAACAUUUUCUCUUCAGCUUUGUCUCUGUGUCUUACUAUGCUAAUGUAGGUAAUAAGCAGUAUUGAUAGCUGGAAGAAGUAAAUUAGCACAUGAAAAGAACCUUGAUUAUUAUUUGUGCAAUUCCUGGAGUCCACUGAUACUUACCAACUCUUAAAGCUUAGAUCUAGGGUAUCCAAACACUGCUUCCUUUCCAAGAAGGAAACAUACAAAAAAACUAAGGCAGCAUGCUCUAAUUCUUUUUUUCUUUUUUUUCUUUUUUAGAUGGAGUCUUGUUCUGUGGUCCAGGCUAGAGGGCAGUGGCAUGAUCUCGGCUCACUACAAGCUCUGCCUCCCGGGUUCACGCCAUUCUCCUGCCUCAGCCUCCUGAGUAGCUGGGACUACAGGCGCCCGCCACCACGCCUGGCUAAUUUUUUGUAUAUUUACUAGAGAUGGCUAGUGUUAGCCAAGAUGGUCUCGAUCUCCUGACCUCGUGAUCUGCCCACCUCAGCCUGCCAAAGUGCUGGGAUUACUGGCGUGAGCCACCGUGCCUGGCCAGCAUCCUCUAAUUAUUAUUCAUAGUUUGUGAAUUUAGGCCUACGUGAAUAAUAAUAUAAUAUUUACUAUGAUGUUACUAUCUACCAACCUUAUUUUUCUUUUCUAUAAAAUAGGAGCCAAAAUAAUAUUUAUGUCAUACCUUAUGAAGUUAAAAUAAAAUAUAACGAAUGAGGGGCUUAACAAUGAGUGUCAUUUUGUAAUUACUUUGUACCAUUAUUAAUUGCUGAGACAGAAUAUGGUAUCACUAGUCAUCUGUAUCUAUUGCACAACUUUAUUUUGAUUCAUUCCUUACUAUUUUGCAUAGAUAGGCCUAAAUUUUUGAUCCACUGCUCAACUCCUGUCUUUAAACCAUUGGUUCUCAAAUAGAGUUGAUUUUGACACCUAGGGAACAUUUGACAACAUAUGGAGAUAUUGUUGAUUUUACAGGGCAACCCUUCAUAAGCACAGAAUUAUCUGGCCCCAAAUGUCGACAGUGUCAAGUUCGAGAAACUCUGCACUAGGCUUUUCUGUCUGGUUACUCACCCCUCUUCUUUGCACUGCCCCCAGUUUUAUGGAUAUUGAAUUCCUGAUUUCUCACUAUAUUAAUUGCACUUAUAGAUAUUCUAAAUUGAUUUGUAUAUAUCUUCCUAGUUUGACCCAUUGCUUUUAACUGAAUUUUACUGGGCUUUUAUAAAGGCCAUUUCCAUGGAGUUUAGUCAUUAUCUUCACCAAAUUUUUAUUUGCUUCAGUCUGGGGAGGAACUCUAUAUUAAAAAAUAAAAACAAACCCAAAAACUAAUUUAUGAAAGACAUUUUAUAAUGUAAUUACUUAAACAUUUUUUUUCUUCUUUCUCAUACGAUCUUUUAAAUUCAGUGAGUGACAUGUGGUUUUCAGGCUGGGUCAGGAAGUUUGCUUGGACGGGGAAAUUCUGUCUGCUGAGACACUAGGGGAGCAAAUGCCUAUGUGGGCACAGGCUGGUCACUGACCUCCUAGGGUUCCCUGACAAUAAAUUAGUCCUAGUUGAGGUCGCCAUCAUCAGAACUUAAUUGGUCCCUGGUACUGGUGAAUCUCUGCACCACAGAGACUAAUCAGUUACAGAACUCAGCUUCUGGGCAUAGGCAACCUUUUCUGUUUUUUCAAUUUUUUGUCAGCAAAGUUGAGAAAAUGAACACACUCAAACAGCCCAUUUCUUAGCUUAUCAAUAUCCGUACCCACUUCUUUCCCUCAUCAACAUGUAUUUUCCAUAUUUUGUUGGUAUUAACCUCUGACACUCAUCCACACAAGAAAGUCUACAAAGCCUAAACUAACUUUUAAACAUUAUUUAAGGUAAUAGCUUUGUCUUCCACCAGAAACCUGGCGACAUUUUUAAAAGGAUUUGAAGAGAUAUAUACCCGAGGGACAGAGAGAAAAAUUAGUGCUGACCAGUCUGGGCCUACUUGACUAACACAAAAUAGAUUAAAUUAAUAAAAACAAGAUGUUCUGCAUUUAUAAACAUGUUAACUCUUUUUAAUGUGUAUGACUCAUUAAUGAGUUCAUAAUUAGAUUUUGAAGGAUUUCAUUCUGGACCUUGCAGAUUGUAUGUAUCUUUCUGGUAAAUUAGGAAGUAUAAUUUUUCAAUAAAAAAGCUCACUGGAAACCCCUGUAACAAGUAAUAAAUAUUUAAAAUUUGCAGAAAUGUUUACUUAUUCAAUAAAUACUGACUCCACAUUAAGAAAUGCUAGAGAUAAAGCAUUUCUAAAGGCAAAUUCUACUGUUUCCUGGUUUUACAUUCUAGAUUUUAAGACAAAGAUGGCUGCCUUGAAAUUUUAGUUAUGUGAAAGAAAUUUCGUAAUGAUAUAACUUUUUCUUACUCUGACUCUGUGAGACUUUUGUUUAUAUUUUAUGAAACUAUUUCUAUAGCACAUGUUAUAUAAAUAUAUUUGAGAAAUCAUUUUUAGCUUUCAGAAAUUAGUUUGCUUAAUACAUUUUAAUUUUAAUAAAGCUCCAUUCCUCUAGUCCUUUCAUAUCUGGAAUAUAUUUCCUAUACAAUAUCUUCUAUAUUAUUUAAUACUGCUGUUUUUUAAAAGAGAAAUUGAAACCUUUUACUCAUAUAUACCAGACUUCCAAAACUGUCUUGGUUUGAAAAUCAGUUCUCCAAAAUACUUUCUCUAACUUAACUUUAUAUCUUAGGUGCAAAUACAAUCCUGAUAAAUACUAUAGUCAGGCAUUUUAAAAACUUUAUGUUUCCCAUAUACUCAGCAGAGUAUCAUCUUCUUGCCCUUUCCCUCACUAUGGUAUCCUUCAAGAACUUAUUAGCUCAAAUUCCAAAUCCUCAAUGAAACAAUCAUCUAUCAAUUUCAUAAUUCACUGUUUUAUUCAAUAAAUAUUUAGUGAAUGAUUUCUGUGUGUCAGGAGUGUAUUGGGAGCUUGGGGACAAAGUGGUGGGCUAGAUAGGCAU
rnacentral:lncRNA from 1 species